AUGCAAGUCGAGCGAAUGAUGAGGAGCUUGCUCCUCUGAUUUAGCGGCGGACGGGUGAGUAACACGUGGGUAAUCUGCCUGUAAGACGGGGAUAACUCCGGGAAACCGGGGCUAAUACCGGAUAAUAAGAGAAGAAGCAUUUCUUCUUUUUGAAAGUCGGUUUCGGCUGACACUUACAGAUGAGCCCGCGGCGCAUUAGCUAGUUGGUGAGGUAACGGCUCACCAAGGCGACGAUGCGUAGCCGACCUGAGAGGGUGAUCGGCCACACUGGGACUGAGACACGGCCCAGACUCCUACGGGAGGCAGCAGUAGGGAAUCUUCGGCAAUGGGCGAAAGCCUGACCGAGCAACGCCGCGUGAGCGAUGAAGGCCUUCGGGUCGUAAAGCUCUGUUGUUAGAGAAGAACAAGUACGAGAGUAACUGCUCGUACCUUGACGGUACCUAACCAGAAAGCCACGGCUAACUACGUGCCAGCAGCCGCGGUAAUACGUAGGUGGCAAGCGUUAUCCGGAAUUAUUGGGCGUAAAGC
rnacentral:rRNA from 1 species